UGCGUAGGCGGCCCGUGUGUCAGAGGUGAAAUCCCACGGCUCAACCGUGGAAUUGCCUUUGAAACUGCGAGGCUUGAGUCCGAGAGGGGAAGGUGGAAUUCCUGGUGUAACGGUGAAAUGUGCAGAUAUCAGGAAGAACACCCGUGGCGAAGGCGGCCUUCUGGCUCGGAACUGACGCUGAGGCACGAAAGCUAGGGUAUCGAACG
rnacentral:rRNA from 1 species